GGUGAACGCUAGCGGGAGGCCUAACACAUGCAAGCCGAGCGGUAUUGUUUCUUCGGCCAUGCGAGAGCGGCGUACGGGUGCGUAACACGUGUGCAACCUGCCUUUAUCUGGGGGAUAGCCUUUCGAAAGGAAGAUUAAUACUCCAUAAUAUAUUGAACGGCAUCGUUUAAUAUUGAAAGCUCCGGCGGAUAGAGAUGGGCACGCGCAAGAUUAGCUAGUUGGUGAGGUAACGGCUCACCAAGGCGAUGAUCUUUAGGGGGCCUGAGAGGGUGAUCCCCCACACUGGUACUGAGACACGGACCAGACUCCUACGGGAGGCAGCAGUGAGGAAUAUUGGUCAAUGGGUGCAAGCCUGAACCAGCCAUCCCGCGUGAAGGACGACUGCCCUAUGGGUUGUAAACUUCUUUUGUAUAGGGAUAAACCUACCCUCGUGAGGGUAGCUGAAGGUACUAUACGAAUAAGCACCGGCUAACUCCGUG
rnacentral:rRNA from 1 species